GACGAACGCUGGCGGCGUGCUUAACACAUGCAAGUCGAACGGUAAGGCUCCAGCUUGCUGGGGUACACGAGUGGCGAACGGGUGAGUAACACGUGGGUGACCUGCCCUGCACUUCGGGAUAAGCCUGGGAAACUGGGUCUAAUACCGGAUAGGACCAUGGUGUGGAUACUGUGGUGGAAAGUUUUUUCGGUGUGGGAUGGGCCCGCGGCCUAUCAGCUUGUUGGUGGGGUAAUGGCCUACCAAGGCGGCGACGGGUAGCCGGCCUGAGAGGGUGGACGGCCACAUUGGGACUGAGACACGGCCCAGACUCCUACGGGAGGCAGCAGUGGGGAAUAUUGCACGAUGGGCGGAAGCCUGAUGCAGCGACGCCGCGUGGGGGAUGACGGCCUUCGGGUUGUAAACUCCUUUCACCAUCGACGAAGGGUUUCUGACGGUAGAUGGAGAAGAAGCACCGGCUAACUACGUG
rnacentral:rRNA from 1 species